ACGGACUUCGGUCUGGUGGCGAGUGGCGAACGGGUGAGUAAUGUAUCGGAACGUGCCCAGUAGCGGGGGAUAACUACGCGAAAGCGUAGCUAAUACCGCAUACGCCCUACGGGGGAAAGCAGGGGAUCGUAAGACCUUGCACUAUUGGAGCGGCCGAUAUCGGAUUAGCUAGUUGGUGGGGUAACGGCUCACCAAGGCGACGAUCCGUAGCUGGUUUGAGAGGACGACCAGCCACACUGGGACUGAGACACGGCCCAGACUCCUACGGGAGGCAGCAGUGGGGAAUUUUGGACAAUGGGGGAAACCCUGAUCCAGCCAUCCCGCGCGUGCGAUGAAGGCCUUCGGGUUGUAAAGCACUUUUGGCAGGAAAGAAACGUCAUGGGUUAAUACCCCGUGAAACUGACGGUACCUGCAGAAUAAGCACCGGCUAACUACGUGCCAGCAGCCGCGGUAAUACGUAGGGUGCAAGCGUUAAUCGGAAUUACUGGGCGUAAAGCGUGCGCAGGCGGUUCGGAAAGAAAGAUGUGAAAUCCCAGAGCUUAACUUUGGAACUGCAUUUUUAACUACCGGGCUAGAGUGUGUCAGAGGGAGGUGGAAUUCCGCGUGUAGCAGUGAAAUGCGUAGAUAUGCGGAGGAACACCGAUGGCGAAGGCAGCCUCCUGGGAUAACACUGACGCUCAUGCACGAAAG
rnacentral:rRNA from 1 species